rnacentral:rRNA from 1 species
GACGUAGGGGGCCAGCGUUGCUCGGAAUUACUGGGCGUAAAGGGUUCGUAGGCGGUGCGGCAAGUUGGGAGUGAAAUCUCUGGGCUUAACCCAGAGGCUGCUUCCAAAACUGCCGUGCUUGAGUGCGAGAGAGGCCAGUGGAAUUGCAGGUGGAGCGGGGAAAUGCGUAGAUAGCUGCAGGAACACCCGUGGCGAAGGCGGCUGGCGGGAUCGCAACUGACGCUGAGGAACGAGAGCUAGGGGAGCAAACAGG